rnacentral:rRNA from 1 species
GAUGCAGCGACGCCGCGUGAGGGAUGACGGCCUUCGGGUUGUAAACCUCUUUCAGUAGGGAAGAAGCCGUGAGGUGACGGUACCUGCAGAAGAAGCGCCGGCUAACUACGUGCCAGCAGCCGCGGUAAUACGUAGGGCGCAAGCGUUAUCCGGAAUUAUUGGGCGUAAAGAGCUCGUAGGCGGUUUGUCGCGUCUGCUGUGAAAGACCGGGGCUCAACUCCGGUUCUGCAGUGGGUACGGGCAGACUAGAGUGCAGUAGGGGAGACUGGAAUUCCUGGUGUAGCGGUGAAAUGCGCAGAUAUCAGGAGGAACACCGAUGGCGAAGGCAGGUCUCUGGGCUGUAACUGACGCUGAGGAGCGAAAGCAUGGGGAGCGAACAGGAUUAGAUACCCUGGUAGUCCAUGCCGUAAACGUUGGGCACUAGGUGUGGGGGACAUUCCACGUUUUCCGCGCCGUAGCUAACGCAUUAAGUGCCCCGCCUGGGGAGUACGGCCGCAAGGCUAAAACUCAAAGGAAUUGACGGGGGCCCGCACAAGCGGCGGAGCAUGCGGAUUAAUUCGAUGCAACGCGAAGAACCUUACCAAGGCUUGACAUGAACCGGUAAUGCCUGGAGACAGGUGCCCCGCUUGCGGUCGGUUUACAGGUGGU